AGUAAAGGCUGAUUUUUAUCUCGUCCGUAUCGUAGCAUUUUCUUUUGUGUCGAAGUCUUAGUUACAGGGACCUUAACUUCGAAGGUCAUUAUAUUUAUGAAACAAAAAACCCUUCGACUUUGCCUUCCAUGUCGUCCAUAUUAAUAUACUUUCAAAGCCUAAUUCAAAGCGAGGCUAGCGACUCGCAACUCGCAACUCGCAACUCGCAGCUCGCAACUCGCAACUCGCAGCUCGCAACUCGCAGCUCGCAAAAUAGCCGACCCC